GAUGAAGAACGCAGCGAAAUGUGAUACGUAGUGUGAAUUGCAGAAUUCAGUGAAUCAUCGAAUCUUUGAACGCACAUUGCACCUCUCGGUAUUCCGGGAGGUAUGCCUGUUCGAGCGUCAUUUGUACCCUCAAGCUCUGCUUGGUGUUGGGUGUUUGUUCCGCCUCUGUGUGUGAACUCGCCUCAAAACAAUUGGCAGCCGGCGUACUUGUUUCGGAGCGCAGCACAUUUUGCGAUCCAGAUCAACGUACAGCGGCAUCCAAGAAGCCUUAUUUAACGCUCUUGACCUCGGAUCAGGUAGGGAUACCCGCUGAACUUAAGCAUAUCAAUAAGCGGAGGA
rnacentral:misc_RNA from 1 species